AAACAAUACAGAACGUGUUUCUGAUAUAGAAAUUUUUAAAUAUGUUUGUACAGAUUUUUUCUAAACCCAAAUUUACAAACUCAUAAGCAUCCCGUAGCUUUAUUUUACAUUUGGGACAUAUAGACUUGGGUUUUAUUUAAAAUCACAUGUUAAUAAUUACUUACGUUGAUGGAACAUAAAUCUGCGAUCUGUAACCUUAAUUGCCGACACUCUUCAUUG